rnacentral:rRNA from 1 species
GACGAACGCUGGCGGCGUGCCUAAUACAUGCAAGUCGAGCGAAGUUUUUCUGGUGCUUGCACCGGAAAAACUUAGCGGCGAACGGGUGAGUAACACGUAAAGAACCUGCCUUAUAGACUGGGACAACUAUUGGAAACGAUAGCUAAUACCGGAUAACAGCAUUAACUGCAUGGUUGAUGUUUGAAAGUUGGUUUUGCUAACACUAUGAGAUGGCUUUGCGGUGCAUUAGCUAGUUGGUGGGGUAAAGGCCUACCAAGGCGACGAUGCAUAGCCGACCUGAGAGGGUGAUCGGCCACACUGGGACUGAGACACGGCCCAGACUCCUACGGGAGGCAGCAGUAGGGAAUCUUCCGCAAUGGGCGAAAGCCUGACGGAGCAACGCCGCGUGAGUGAAGAAGGAUUUCGGUUCGUAAGGCUCUGUUGUUAGGGAAGAAUGAUUGUGUAGUAACUAUACACAGUAGAGACGGUACCUAACCAGAAAGCCACGGCUAACUACGUG